rnacentral:rRNA from 1 species
GAUGAACGCUGGCGGCACGCUUAACACAUGCAAGUCGAACGAAGUCCAUGGAGCUUGCUCCGGAAGAUUUAGUGGCGAACGGGUGCGUAACACGUGAGAAAUCUGCCCCGGACUCUGGGAUAACAGUUGGAAACGACUGCUAAUACCGGAUGCCUUCAUUUGACCGCAUGGUUGUUUGAAGAAAGAUUUAUCGGUUUGGGAGGAUCUCGCGGCCUAUCAGCUUGUUGGAGAGGUAACGGCUCACCAAGGCAUCGACGGGUAGCUGGUCUGAGAGGAUGAUCAGCCACACUGGAACUGAGACACGGUCCAG